GAUCCUUUCAGUGGGGACAUUACUAUUCAGUCAUCAAGUCAUUUGAGGAUCGUCAGUGGUACGAGUGUAACGACAGCUCUGUGCGCAAGAUACCUGAUUUAAAAAACCCCUUCUACUGUGAGAAGGCCUUUCUUCUUCUGUACACAAAAAAAUAAUCAGGAUAACAAUGACCCUGGUCUGGUUUACCGUUGAUUAAAAAACUUAACUUAAAACAAACAGUUUUAGCUAAAAAAAAAAUCACACAAAAAAUGAGACACCAUUUGGAUAAUCUAAACCUCAAACAGAUACUUCUGGAUCUAACUCUGAUCUUCAACCGGAGGAAACUC